GGGCAAACCGAAGAGUUUACUCUUCGGGGUUGUAGGACUGCAAUGUGGACUCAAAGAUUAUAGAAGAAUGAUUUGGGAAGAUCAGCCAAAGAGAGUAAUAGCCUCGUAUUUAAAAUAGUCUUUGUACUUAGCAGUAUCCUGAGUACGGCGGGACACGUGAAAUCCCGUCGGAAUCUGGGAGGACCAUCUCCCAACCCUAAAUACUCCCUAGUGACCGAUAGUGAACCAGUACCGUGAGGGAAAGGUGAAAAGCACCCCGGGAGGGGAGUGAAAUAGAACCUGAAACCGUGUGCCUACAACAAGUUCGAGCCCGUUAAUGGGUGAGAGCGUGCCUUUUGUAGAAUGAACCGGCGAGUUACGUUAUGAUGCGAGGUUAAGUUGAAGAGACGGAGCCGUAGGGAAACCGAGUCUGAAUAGGGCGCCUUAGUAUCAUGACGUAGACCCGAAACCAUGUGACCUACCCAUGAGCAGGUUGAAGGUGCGGUAAGACGCACUGGAGGACCGAACCAGGGCACGUUGAAAAGUGCUUGGAUGACUUGUGGGUAGCGGAGAAAUUCCAAACGAACUUGGAGAUAGCUGGUUCUCUCCGAAAUAGCUUUAGGGCUAGCGUCGACAUUAGAGAUUCUUGGAGGUAGAGCACUGUUUGGGUGAGGGGUCCAUCCCGGAUUACCAAUCUCAGAUAAACUCCGAAUGCCAAUGAAUUAUGGUCGGCAGUCAGACUGCGAGUGCUAAGAUCCGUAGUCGAAAGGGAAACAGCCCAGACCACCAGCUAAGGUCCCAAAAUAAUUGUUAAGUGGAAAAGGAUGUGGGGUUGCACAGACAACUAGGAUGUUAGCUUAGAAGCAGCUAUUCAUUCAAAGAGUGCGUAAUAGCUCACUAGUCGAGUGACCCUGCGCCGAAAAUGUACCGGGGCUAAAACAAUUUACCGAAGCUGUGGAUACCUUUAUAGGUAUGGUAGGAGAGCGUUCUAUGUGUGAUGAAGGUAUACCGUGAGGAGUGCUGGAACGCAUAGAAGUGAGAAUGCCGGUAUGAGUAGCGAAAGACAGGUGAGAAUCCUGUCCACCGUAAGACUAAGGUUUCCAGGGGAAGGCUCGUCCGCCCUGGGUUAGUCGGGACCUAAGGAGAGACCGAAAGGUGUAUCCGAUGGACAACAGGUUGAUAUUCCUGUACUAGAGUAUGUAGUGAUGGAGGGACGCAGUAGGCUAACUAAAGCAGACGAUUGGAAGAGUCUGUCUAAGCAGUGAGGUGUGAAUUGAGUCAAAUGCUUAAUUCUAUAACAUUGAGCUGUGAUGGGGAGCGAAGUUUAGUAGCGAAGUUAGUGACGUCACACUGCCAAGAAAAGCUUCUAGCGUUUAACCAUACUCUACCCGUACCGCAAACCGACACAGGUAGUCGAGGCGAGUAGCCUCAGGUGAGCGAGAGAACUCUCGUUAAGGAACUCGGCAAAAUGACCCCGUAACUUCGGGAGAAGGGGUGCUGACUUUAAGUCAGCCGCAGUGAAUAGGCCCAAGCAACUGUUUAUCAAAAACACAGCUCUCUGCUAAAUCGUAAGAUGAUGUAUAGGGGGUGACGCCUGCCCGGUGCUGGAAGGUUAAGAGGAGUGCUUAGCGUAAGCGAAGGUAUGAAUUGAAGCCCCAGUAAACGGCGGCCGUAACUAUAACGGUCCUAAGGUAGCGAAAUUCCUUGUCGGGUAAGUUCCGACCCGCACGAAAGGCGUAAUGAUUUGGGCACUGUCUCAACGAGAGACUCGGUGAAAUUUUAGUACCUGUGAAGAUGCAGGUUACCCGCGACAGGACGGAAAGACCCCAUGGAGCUUUACUGCAGUUUGAUAUUGAGUGUCUGUACCACAUGUACAGGAUAGGUAGGAGUCUAAGAGAUCGGGACGCCAGUUUCGAAGGAGACGCUGUUGGGAUACUACCCUUGUGUUAUGGCCACUCUAACCCAGAUAGGUGAUCCCUAUCGGAGACAGUGUCUGACGGGCAGUUUGACUGGGGCGGUCGCCUCCUAAAAGGUAACGGAGGCGCCCAAAGGUUCCCUCAGAAUGGUUGGAAAUCAUUCGCAGAGUGUAAAGGUAUAAGGGAGCUUGACUGCGAGAGCUACAACUCGAGCAGGGACGAAAGUCGGGCUUAGUGAUCCGGUGGUUCCGUAUGGAAGGGCCAUCGCUCAACGGAUAAAAGCUACCCUGGGGAUAACAGGCUUAUCUCCCCCAAGAGUUCACAUCGACGGGGAGGUUUGGCACCUCGAUGUCGGCUCGUCGCAUCCUGGGGCUGUAGUCGGUCCCAAGGGUUGGGCUGUUCGCCCAUUAAAGCGGCACGCGAGCUGGGUUCAGAACGUCGUGAGACAGUUCGGUCCCUAUCCGUCGCGGGCGUAGGAAAUUUGAGAGGAUCUGCUCCUAGUACGAGAGGACCAGAGUGGACUUACCGCUGGUGUACCAGUUGUCUUGCCAAAGGCAUCGCUGGGUAGCUAUGUAGGGAAGGGAUAAACGCUGAAAGCAUCUAAGUGUGAAACCCACCUCAAGAUGAGAUUUCCCAUGAUUAUAUAUCAGUAAGAGCCCUGAGAGAUGAUCAGGUAGAUAGGUUAGAAGUGGAAGUGUGGCGACACAUGUAGCGGACUAAUACUAAUAGCUCGAGGACUUAUCCAA
rnacentral:rRNA from 1 species